rnacentral:rRNA from 1 species
AUUGAACGCUGGCGGCGUGCUUUACACAUGCAAGUCGGACGAGUGGCGGACGGGUGAGUAAUGCAUCGGAACGUACCGAGUAAUGGGGGAUAACUGUCCGAAAGGGUAGCUAAUACCGCAUACUAUUCGAGCGGCCGAUGUCUGAUUAGCUGGUUGGCGGGGUAAAGGCCCACCAAGGCGACGAUCCGUAGCGGGUCUGAGAGGAUGAUCAGACACACUGGGACUGAGACACGGCCCAGACUCCUACGGGAGGCAGCAGUGGGGAAUUUUGGACAAUGGGCGCAAGCCUGAUCCAGCCAUGCCGCGUGUCUGAAGAAGGCCUUCGGGUUGUAAAGGACUUUUAGCAGGGAAGCGGUACCUGAAGAAUAAGCACCGGCUAACUACGUGCCAGCAGCCGCGGUAAUUC